rnacentral:rRNA from 1 species
CCUACGGGUGGCAGCAGUGAGGAAUAUUGGUCAAUGGGCGAGAGCCUGAACCAGCCAAGUCGCGUGAAGGAUGACGGUCCUACGGAUUGUAAACUUCUUUUGUCAGGGAGCAAUUGGGUCCACGCGUGGCCUUAGCGAGAGUACCUGCAGAAAAAGCAUCGGCUAACUCCGUGCCAGCAGCCGCGGUAAUACGGAGGAUGCGAGCGUUAUCCGGAUUUAUUGGGUUUAAAGGGUGCGUAGGCGGAAUAUCAAGUCAGCGGUAAAAUUUCGGGGCUCAACCCCGUCGGGCCGUUGAAACUGGGGAUCUUGAGUGGGCGAGAAGUAUGCGGAAUGCGUGGUGUAGCGGUGAAAUGCAUAGAUAUCACGCAGAACUCCGAUUGCGAAGGCAGCAUACCGGCGCCCAACUGACGCUGAGGCACGAAAGCGUGGGGAUCGAACAGGAUUAGAUACCCCAGUAGUC